UUCUCCCUCUCCUCUCUGUUCCACAUAGCCCCCCAUAUUCAACACAUGGCCCGACCCCCACCUCUCCAUUUCUCCUUCUUCCGUCACACAACACCCGAACCCCUCCAUUUUCUUCCUUCUCUUCUUCCCUUCGUCUUCCUCCUCUCUUCACUCACCAUCACACACACCCAGCCGAGAGAGAGAUGAAUUGAGAGAGAGAGCUACUAAGAGUGAAAACCCGUGAGUGAGGAAGUUAUUUUUUGGCCUUUGGAGGAGCGGUUUGAAGCUAGGUGGUCGGACAACCGUCAUAGCGUGGAGGCAGCGGCUGGCACAAUGGAUUCUGACCUUGUUUUGGAUAGUGUCCGGAUUGGAGACUUCAAUUGAUUCUCCAAUGUAGAGUCCAAGUGACUAGAAUCCGAGGGGAUGUUCAAGUCAAGAGUCUAAUGCAGCCAGAUACAGCAACCCCCGCAUCUGUGCAGAUUUUGAUGAUGGCUGCAGGUACUCCAGUCGUAGUUGACGGUCUCGUAGAUGUGUUUUGGGAUAUUAUGACCGAAGCUCGACGCGACGGCUGUAGCGUGACAGACCGCGGGAUGUUCAUUAUUUUGGGUAAUUUGUUUAUGGCUCAUGACGUUUGUGUCACCUAAUCUUUGUCAAGCCAUUUCUGUUAUGUAUUUAUUAUAUUGAGGAAAGACUUAAAUAGAUAGAUGUUAAAUGGCUCUUGUUGUAAUUAAUUUAUGAUAGAUGAUUAAGAUGUGACUUGUGCUAUUAGGUUUAUGUUUUCCACUGCAUAGUAGAUAGAUGUUAU